rnacentral:rRNA from 1 species
UACAGAGGUGGCAAGCGUUGUUCGGAAUUACUGGGCGUAAAGGGCGAGUAGGUGGCCAUCUAAGUCAGACGUGAAAUCCCCCGGCUUAACCUGGGAACUGCGUCUGAUACUGGACGGCUUGAGUAUGGGAGAGGAACGUAGAAUUCCAGGUGUAGCGGUGAAAUGCGUAGAUAUCAGGAGGAACACCGGUGGCGAAGGCGGGUCUCUGGGCCGAUAUUGACGCUGAGGAGCGAAAGCGUGGGGAGCGAACAGG